rnacentral:tRNA from 1 species
GCCGACUUAGCUCAGUAGGUAGAGCGUUCCUCUUGUAAGGGAAAUGUCACCAGUUCAAUUCCGGUAGUCGGCAC